GAACAUCCAAAAUGUGGUUUCAAAACUGAAAUGAAUGAUCUCACCAAUGUUGUUAUUCCAGUGAAAACCCAGUACCACAAUGCAGAAGCCACAGUCUGCUGUCUUCAUGCUGAAAUCACCUCAGUGCUGAACCAAGAGGAUGAGACAUCCCAGCUUGUGGUGUGAUACAUCCAUUGCCAGAAUGUACUCUAUUUGCUUUGCUCUGACAUACAAAAUGUUGUAAAUACAAAAGCAAAAAUUAUUGGACUGCAAUUUCUGGGAACUCCAGGCAUACACUCUAAAUGUGAUUGCAAGUAAUACUCAUGUCAGCUGAGUUGCUGAACUACACAUCCAUACCACCCUUGCAGAGGAAGAAUGCAGAAAAAAAUGCAUCCUGAAGCUA